AUGAGUCUUCACCUAAAGGGCGUCUAGAUCAUGCUUCUAGGCGUCGCCCAAGGAUGGGGCCGCGACCGAUCAGGUUGUUGGUGAGGUAAUGGCUCACCAAGCCUCUAACCGGUGCGGGCCGUGAGAGCGGGAGCCCGGAGAUGGGCACUGAGACAAAGGCCCAGGCCCUACGGGGCGCAGCAGUCGCGAAAACUUUGCAAUACACGAAAGUGUGACAGGGCUAUCCCGAGUGCCGUCCGCUGAGGAUGGCUUUUACUCAGUCUAGAAAGCUGAGGGAAUAAGGAGAGGGCAAGUCUGGUGUCAGCCGCCGCGGUAAUACCAGCUCUCCGAGUGGUGUGGAUGUUUAUUGGGCCUAAAGCAUCCGUAGCUGGCUGGGCAAGUCCCCUGUUAAAUCCACCGAUUUAAUCGUUGGUGUGUGGGGGAUACUGCUCGGCUAGGGGACGAGAGAGGCCGACGGUAUUUCUGGGGUAGGGGUGAAAUCCUAUAAUCCCAGGAAGACCACCAGUGGCGAAGGCUGUCGGCUAGAACGCGCCCGACGGUGAGGGAUGAAAGCUGGGGGAGCGAACCGGAUUAGAUACCCGGGUAGUCCCAGCUGUAAACGAUGCAGGCUAGGUGUUUGGGCGGCCACGUGCCGCUCUAGUGCCGCAGGGAAGCUGUUA
rnacentral:rRNA from 1 species